CCUACGGGAGGCAGCAGUGGGGAAUAUUGCACAAUGGGCGAAAGCCUGAUGCAGCAACGCCGCGUGAGCGAUGAAGGCCUUCGGGUCGUAAAGCUCUGUCCUCAAGGAAGAUAAUGACGGUACUUGAGGAGGAAGCCCCGGCUAACUACGUGCCAGCAGCCGCGGUAAUACGUAGGGGGCUAGCGUUAUCCGGAAUUACUGGGCGUAAAGGGUGCGUAGGUGGUUUCUUAAGUCAGCGGUAAAAGCCCGGGGCUCAACCCCGGCGAGCCGUUGAACCUGGCUGUCUUGAGAUGUCGAGAGGUAUGCGGAAUGCGCAGUGUAGCGGUGAAAUGCUUAGAUAUUGCGCAGAACUCCGAUUGCGAAGGCAGCAUACCGGCGGCGAUCUGACGCUGAGGCACGAAAGCGUGGGUAUCGAACAGGAUUAGAUACCCUAGUAGUC
rnacentral:rRNA from 1 species